rnacentral:rRNA from 1 species
UGGGGAAUAUUCCGCAAUGGGGGGAACCCUGACGGAGCAACGCCGCGUGGGUGAAGAAGUUUUUCGGAAUGUAAAGCCCUGUCAUGAGGGAAGAAAGUUAUAUACUGGAUAAAGGUAUGUAAUUGACGGUACCUGAUAAGAAAGCUCCGGCUAACUACGUGCCAGCAGCCGCGGUAAUACGUAGGGAGCGAGCGUUGUCCGGAAUCAUUGGGCGUAAAGGGCGCGUAGGCGGCAAGACAAGUCAAAUGUGAAAUAUAGCGGCUUAACCGCUAGGCUGCGUUUGAAACUGUUUUGCUUGAGAACAGGAGAGGAGAGUGGAAUUCCUGGUGUAGUGGUGAAAUACGUAGAUAUCAGGAAGAACAUCGGUGGCGAAGGCGGCUCUCUGGCCUGUAUCUGACGCUGAUGCGCGAAAGCGUGGGGAGCAAACGGGAUUAGAUACCCCCGUAGUCC